UACAUAGGGGGCAAGCGUUGUCCGGAUUUAUUGGGCGUAAAGAGCGUGUAGGCGGCUUCACAGGUCCGCUGUGAAAACUCGAGGCUCAACCUCGAGCUGUCGGUGGAAACCGUGUGGCUAGAGUCCGGAAGAGGAGAGUGGAAUUCCCGGUGUAGCGGUGAAAUGCGCAGAUAUCGGGAAGAACACCCGUGGCGAAGGCGGCUCUCUGGGACGGUACUGACGCUGAGACGCGAAAGCGUGGGGAGCGAACAGG
rnacentral:rRNA from 1 species